rnacentral:rRNA from 1 species
UGGGAAUCUGCCCUUGGGUACGGAAUAACAGUUAGAAAUGACUGCUAAUACCGUAUAAUGACUUCGGUCCAAAGAUUUAUCGCCCAGGGAUGAGCCCGCGUAGGAUUAGCUAGUUGGUGAGGUAAAGGCUCACCAAGGCAACGAUGCGUAGCCGACCUGAGAGGGUGAUCGGCCACAUUGGAACUGAGACACGGUCCAGACUCCUACGGGAGGCAG